rnacentral:rRNA from 1 species
AUGGAUUGCAUCUUGGCGAAUGAAACUUGGGAGAUAACUGAUCGUCCUUAUGGGUGCAAACCUAUAGGAUGCAAAUGGGUAUUCAAGGAGAAGCUUAGGCCUGAUGGUACUAUUGAAAAGUACAAGGCUCGGAUCGUGGCUAAGGGUUAUACCGAAAAGGAAGGUGAAGACUUCUUUGAUACUUACUCACUUGUGGCUCGACUGACCACUAUUCGAGUUCUACUUUCACUAGCUGCCUCACAUGGUCUCCUCGUUCAUCAAAUGGAUGUUAAGACUGCUUUCCUAAAUGGAGAGUUGGACGAGGAAAUUUAUAUGGAACAACCAGAUGGGUUUGUAAUAGAUGGUCAGGAAGGGAAAGUGUGCAAGUUGCUGAAGUCUUUGUACGGACUUAAGCAAGUACCCAAACAGUGGCAUGAGAAGUUUGAAAGAACUUUAACAGCUGCAGGCUUUGUUGUAAACGAAGCUGACAAAUGUGUGUACUAUCGCCAUGGUGGGGGCAAGGGAGUUAUCCUUUGCUUGUAUGUUGAUGACAUACUGAUUUUUGGAACAAAUCUGAAUGUUAUUAAGGAGGUCAAGGAUUUCCUAUCUCGUUGCUUUGAGAUGAAGGAUUUAGGAGUGGCUGAUGUCAUUCUAAACAUCAAGUUGUUGAGAGACGAUGAUGGUGGGAUAACAUUGCUUCAAUCUCACUAUGUGGAAAAGAUCUUGAGUCGCUUUGGCUAUAGUGACUGCAAGCCCACUCCAACACCAUAUGAUGCGAGCGUGUUACUUCGAAAGAAUCGAAGAAUUGCUAGAGAUCAAUUAAAAUAUUCUCAGAUUAUUGGCUCGCUUAUGUACUUAGCCAUUGCUACAAGACCUGACAUCUCUUUUGUUGUUACCAAACUGAGUCGGUUUGUCUCAAAACCAGGAGAUGUGCAUUGGAAAGCUCUAGAAAGAGUUUUGUGUUAUUUGAAAGGCACUGCGAAUUAUGGAAUUCACUACACUGGGCACCCAAAGGUGCUUGAAGGGUAUAGUGACUCAAACUGGAUCUCAGAUGCUGAUGAGAUAAAGGCCACGAGCGGGUAUGUAUUCACUCAUGGAGGUGGCGCUGUUUCUUGGAAGUCUUGCAAGCAGACCAUCUUAACGAGGUCAAUAAUGGAAGCAGAACUCACAACACUAGAUACAGCUACGGUCGAAGCAGAUUGGGUUCGCCGGCUCUUGAAUGACUUGUCGGUUGUUGAAAAACCUGUACCGGGUAUCCUUACGAACUACGACAAUCAAACUGUG